rnacentral:rRNA from 1 species
GACGAACGCUGGCGGCGUGCUUAACACAUGCAAGUCGAACGGAGUGGCGAACGGGUGAGUAACACGUGGGUGACCUGCCCUGCACUUCGGGAUAAGCCUGGGAAACUGGGUCUACUACCGGAUAGUGUGGGAUGGGACCGCGGCCUAUCGGCUUGUGGGUGGGGUAAUGGCCUACCAAGGCGGCGACGGGUAGCCGGCCUGGGAGGGUGGACGGCCACAUGGGGACUGAGACACGGCGCAGAGUGUUACGGGGGGCAUGAGGGGGGAAUAUGGCACAAUGGGGGGAAGUCUGAUGCAGCGACGCCGCGGGGGGGAUGAAGGCCUUCGGGUUGUAAACUCCUUUCACCAUCGACGCGGUAGAUGGAGAAGAAGCACCGGCUAACUACGUGCCAGCAGCCGCGGUAAUUC